GGGCCAUGGUCGUGGGCCUGGAGGUAGGGGGAGUGAGGAUCCUCUGCUUCGCAACUUCUUGAGAAGACUGUACACUCCAACAGCCAAUAGUAUGGAGAGGAGGAUUAUGGAGAUUGACGGCAUUGUUGGGCGAGAAAUGUUGAAGGGCUGGUAUGCACGUGAGAAGAGCUGGUGCAACAAUAUGCGUGAUUUGGUGAAGUGGCGGAAAAUUUGGUUUGGUUGAAUUGCGGUAGAUGAUGAUAAAUAUUUCUUUCGGAGUUCGAUGAAUUAUGAGUACCCGUGAGAUGUGAGUUGGAUAAGGGCCUUUUAAGUAAUUUGAGAAACUUUUACUUAGACACUCCCAACAAUUUGUCAAUCUCUAAAAUUUGAAAAUUUGAUACAGUGAAGUGAAUUUUUAAAUUUUAAAUAAUUAAAUAAAUUAAUUAAUUAAGUUUACAAGAUGAUAUUAUUCUACAUAA